GACGCGGCGCUUUUCUCACCCGCGCUGCAGUGACAGAGCAGCGCCGCCCCCCCCCCGCGCGCCCAUUGGUCGCUGCAGAGCCGCCCGGGGCGGGGCCCGGCAUCCCCGGCUCCGCAUCUCCGCACGUCCACCACGUCCAGCCGGCCCGGGCAGCACCCAGGGGGUCGGAGACGGGCGGGGCCCGCUGUCGAGCGCCUCCCCGCGGGGCGGCUGAGGGGACGGAGCCUCUGCACCAGGGGACACACACGGGCUCCCCGCCACCCCCACCCCCCCGGGGCGCGCGCACGGCCCCUGCCUCCGAGGGAGACGCCUGCGGCAGCCGCGUCCUGCCCGUGGGCGCUGCACCGCCCCGGUCUCGCUGGAAAGGGCGCGGGGCUCCCCGCGCACAGGCAGGCGCCGGCCUCCCUCCCGCCAAGCAGCAGCCCGAGAAACCCCGGCUGCUGCAGCAAGCACGGAACCGAGGGCAGGGCGGAGCCACCAGGAAAACCAAGGUCUCCCGAAAUCGGUGGGGGCGCUGCCUCCGGGCCCCCCGCCCCCAUCCAAGCCGGGACCAGGGAACCCCCCCGCCCAGCGCUUCGCCCCCGAGCCCCUUUUCACGCAGAGGGAAAGUAGAUGAAAGCCCGGUCCUAGAAGCAGGGCUGGAAGCCAGCUCCAGGCUGUUAGUCCAGCCCUUCCGUGCGGCAGGAAAGGGCUCCUGUCCCCUCCCGGGCUACGGCUAUGGAAAAUAGCAUCUGACAACAGGGAUUGGAGAGCAGGCCUCAAGUAGCUGAAGGGUAGUUACAGAGAGAGUGGACAUGGGCUUUCCUCUCCGGCUGUAGGAGACAGGGCUAAGAGCAACAGCUUCAAGCUGCAGCAGGGGAAGUGGAGGUUGGAGAUUAGGAGGAACUUUCUGACUGUGGGAGGGGCUAAGCACUGGAACAGCCCCCCCCCAAAGGAUCUCCAUCCCUGGCAGCUUUCCAGAGUAGCUUAGACAAACACUUGGCUGGAAUGGUUUAGUCAGGAAUGAUCCUGCCUUGAGCAAAGGGCUGGACUAGAUGACCUUGUGAGGUAGCUUCCAGCUCCUACUUUCUUCUGCUCUGUAGGGCCUGUGGGAAGCUGACAAGGCCUUCAUUUUUAAUGCCUGGUAUGGCAAGGCCUUGUAAAGCAGCACUUCAUUUGCAGGUAUGCUCCAGUAGCUUUGUGCUAUCCAGUGACACCAGCCAGCUUGACCAGGUUUAUAGCGGUUUAGUUCAGGUCUACAUCACAGAUCUUUUCUACCAAGAAAUCUUUGCCUGUUUAGGGUGCGAUGAGGCAUGGUCACAACCCCCUUUCAAACCAUGCUGCAGGAGCAGCAGCCAGGUUCCCAAAUCAGUGGUUCCCUGAAUCUUCCAAGGACAACUCCUAGGAAAAAGGCAAGGUUUUUGAGUUGUUAAUCAGUUUCUUGAUGUGUUCCAAACUUUGUAGAAAUGGAUAACCUCUUGUCGCUGAAGAAGGCAAUUAAUUCAAAUUGGGACUUUCUGAUAACCAAUAAUAAGCAGUUUGAUUAACAGGAUUUUCCUGUCAAUUACUGCUUGGGACUCUUGAUUUACACAACUACUUUGAGAAUGCUUUGAAGAUGCUAAGCUAAAGGGUAUAAAAAAGGAACAAAACAGCUAACAGGGCAUGGACUUCAAGAAUGAAAGAUCCUUCUGACAAGAACCAAGAACGCCCAGCUUUCUUCUAGGUGAGACAAUCCACACCUGGGGAAGCUGCCAAUAAACACACCAUCUGUAUUGGUGAGACGUUAUCACUGUACAGCUAAAUACUGGACUUUGUUUUGCUUUAGGCUCAUUAAACUGUGAAUACUUGCGCUAAACAAA